GAAUCAUUCUGCUCUCCCCUGGCUGGGACCCUGGCUGUCAGUCAGCCCUCCACCAGCACUGUGGAGGACUAUGCUGGAUCAUCUGUGGCUUUUCUGAUCACAGUAUCACAGUGACUUUAUCGCCGUCACCUCCUCAUUGUGAACCAGCCCAUCCCUUGGAGGCAGAGUGCUAUUGUGGAGGUGGACGAGAUGGCUCCAGGAAACAGCACCACAAAGUCAGCAGCAUGAAGUGGAUGAUGAUGUGGUGACAUUUCCUGAAAGUCUUCUGCUGCUGGUAUUUUGUGAAGGGUCUUGACAGUGUGAUGGCAUCCCACAGCUCCUUGAACAUCUUCAGAGACUACCACACCUUCAAGCUGAUGAGAGAACAGAAAUUUUAUUAACUCAAAAAACAGUGUGUGGAGUCAGUGUUAAGUGGCUGUAGAUGCCUUGCCUUUGGUUGUAAUCUCUUUUAG